UACGUAGGUGGCAAGCGUUGUCCGGAUUUAUUGGGUUUAAAGGGUGCGUAGGCAGUUUCCUAAGUCAGUUGUGAAAUACGGCAGCUUAACUGUCGAGGUGCAAUUGAUACUGGGAAACUUGAGUACUGAUGAGGUAUGCGGAAUGGACGGUGUAGCGGUGAAAUGCUUAGAUAUCGUCCAGAACACCGAUAGCGAAGGCAGCAUACUAAGGAGUAACUGACGCUGAGGCACGAAAGUGUGGGGAUCAAACAGG
rnacentral:rRNA from 1 species